rnacentral:rRNA from 1 species
AGCAGGCGCGAAAACUCUACAAUGCAGGCAACUGCGAUAGGGGAACAUCGAGUGGCACCCACCAUGGGUGUCUGUCCAACCGUCUAAAAAACGGUUGUUAGCAAGGGCCGGGUAAGACCGGUGCCAGCCGCCGCGGUAAUACCGGCGGCUCGAGUGGUGGCCGAUAUUAUUGAGUCUAAAGGGUCCGUAGCUGGCUUUGCAAGUCCCCUGGGAAAUCCAGCGGCUUAACCGUUGGGCUUCCAUGGGAUACUACAUUGCUUGGGACUGGGAGAGGUAGGAGGUACUCAGGGGGUAGGGGUGAAAUCCUGUAAUCCUCUGGGGACCACCGGUGGCGAAGGCGUCCUACCAGAACAGGUCCGACAGUGAGGGACGAAAGCUAGGGGCACGAACCGGAUUAGAUACCCGGGUAGUCCUAGCCGUAAACGAUGCUCGCUAGGUGUCACGGCAGUCGUGAAUUGUCGUGGUGCCGUAGGGAAGCCGUGAAGCGAGCCACUUGGGAAGUACGACCGCAAGGUUGAAACUUAAAGGAAUUGGCGGGGGAGCAC